rnacentral:tRNA from 1 species
UAGCCUAGUGGUUAAGGCUUGGAUCGCCAAUCCGGAGACGGCGGGUUCGAUUCCCGU